rnacentral:rRNA from 1 species
AGCAGCCGCGGUAAUUCCAGCUCCAAUAGCGUAUAUUAAAGUUGUUGCAGUUAAAAAGCUCGUAGUUGAACUUCAGGCCUGGCUGGACGGUCCGCCUUCUGGGCGAGUACUGUCUGUGGUCGGGUCCUACCUUCUGGCGAAGCGUCAUGGUCUUAAUCGGCCGUGGCGGGGAACCAGGACUUUUACUGUGAAAAAAUUAGAGUGUUCAAAGCAGGCAGUCGCUUGAAUACAUUAGCAUGGAAUAAUGGAAUAGGACAAUGGUUCUAUUUGUUGGUUUCUAGGACCGUUGUAAUGAUUAAUAGGGAUAGUUGGGGGCAUUAGUAUUCAAUUGUCAGAGGUGAAAUUCUUGGAUUUAUUGAAGACUAACUACUGCGAAAGCAUUUGCCAAGGAUGUUUUCAUUAAUCAAGAACGAAAGUUAGGGGAUCGAAGACGAUCAGAUACCGUCGUAGUCUUAACCAUAAACUAUGCCGACUAGGAAUCGGGCGAUGUUGACAAAAUGACGCGCUCGGCA